GACGAACGCUGGCGGCGUGCCUAAUACAUGCAAGUCGAACGAGUGGCGGACGGGUGAGUAAUGCCUAGGAAUCUGCCUGGUAGUGGGGGAUAACGUCCGGAAACGGGCGCUAAUACCGCAUACUAUCGGAUGAACCCAUAUGGGAUUAGCUAGUAGGUGGGGUAAAGGCUCACCUAGGCGACGAUCUCUAGCUGGUCUGAGAGGAUGAUCAGCCACACUGGGACUGAGACACGGCCCAGACUCCUACGGGAGGCAGCAGUGGGGAAUAUUGCACAAUGGGCGCAAGCCUGAUGCAGCCAUGCCGCGUGUAUGAAGAAGGCCUUAGGGUUGUAAAGUACUUUCAGCGGGGAGGCGUUACCCGCAGAAGAAGCACCGGCUAACUCCGUGCCAGCAGCCGCGGUAAUAC
rnacentral:rRNA from 1 species